rnacentral:rRNA from 1 species
GAUGAACGCUGGCGGCGUGCUUAACACAUGCAAGUCGAACGGGAAUUACUUUAUUGAAACUUCGGUCGAUUUAAUUUAAUUCUAGUGGCGGACGGGUGAGUAACGCGUGGGUAACCUGCCUUGUACAGGGGGAUAACAGUCAGAAAUGACUGCUAAUACCGCAUAAGCGCACAGGACCGCAUGGUCCGGUGUGAAAAACUCCGGUGGUAUAAGAUGGACCCGCGUUGGAUUAGCUUGUUGGUGGGGUAACGGCCCACCAAGGCGACGAUCCAUAGCCGGCCUGAGAGGGUGAACGGCCACAUUGGGACUGAGACACGGCCCAGACUCCUACGGGAGGCAGCAGUGGGGAAUAUUGCACAAUGGGGGAAACCCUGAUGCAGCGACGCCGCGUGAAGGAAGAAGUAUCUCGGUAUGUAAACUUCUAUCAGCAGGGAAGAAAAUGACGGUACCUGACUAAGAAGCCCCGGCUAACUACGUGCCAGCAGCCGCGGUAAUACGUAGGGGGCAAGCGUUAUCCGGAUUUACUGGGUGUAAAGGGAGCGUAGACGGAUGGACAAGUCUGAUGUGAAAGGCUGGGGCUCAACCCCGGGACUGCAUUGGAAACUGCCCGUCUUGAGUGCCGGAGAGGUAAGCGGAAUUCCUAGUGUAGCGGUGAAAUGCGUAGAUAUUAGGAGGAACACCAGUGGCGAAGGCGGCUUACUGGACGGUAACUGACGUUGAGGCUCGAAAG